UAGGAUGAGGUAUAAUGGGAGAACAAAGGGUUUUGAGCUCUUUGGUAUGGGUUCGAAUCCUGUUGUCCUAG
rfam:Sarcophilus harrisii ctg7180002474185, whole genome shotgun sequence.